rnacentral:rRNA from 1 species
UAGAGUUUGAUCAUGGCUCAGAUUGAACGCUGGCGGCAUGCUUUACACAUGCAAGUCGAACGGAGUUAAGGGGCUUGCUCCUUAAUUUAGUGGCGAACGGGUGAGUAAUAUAUCGGAACGUACCCGGCAAUGGGGGAUAACGUAGCGAAAGUUACGCUAAUACCGCAUAUGCCCUGAGGGGGAAAGCAGGGGACCAGCAAUGGCCUUGCGUUGUCGGAGCGGCCGAUAUCGGAUUAGCUAGUUGGUGGGGUAAAGGCCUACCAAGGCGACGAUCCGUAGCGGGUCUGAGAGGAUGAUCCGCCACACUGGGACUGAGACACGGCCCAGACUCCUACGGGAGGCAGCAGUGGGGAAUUUUGGACAAUGGGCGCAAGCCUGAUCCAGCCAUGCCGCGUGAGUGAAGAAGGCCUUCGGGUUGUAAAGCUCUUUCAGCCGGAAAGAAAACGCACUUUUUAAUACGGAGUGUGGAUGACGGUACCGGAAGAAGAAGCACCGGCUAACUACGUGCCAGCA